rnacentral:rRNA from 1 species
UACGAAGGGGGCUAGCGUUGUUCGGAAUUACUGGGCGUAAAGGGCGUGUAGGCGGUCCGCUAAGUCAGGUGUGAAAGGCCUGGGCUCAACCCAGGAAAUGCGCCUGAGACUGACGGACUUGAGUCCGGGAGAGGAUGGUGGAACUCCCAGUGUAGAGGUGAAAUUCGUAGAUAUUCGCAAGAACACCAGUGGCGAAGGCGGCUCACUGGCCCGAUACUGACGCUGAGGUGCGAAAGCGUGGGGAGCAAACAGG